UACAGAGGGUGCAAGCGUUAAUCGGAAUUACUGGGCGUAAAGCGUGCGUAGACGGUUAUUUAAGUCAGGUGUGAAAGCCCCGGGCUCAACCUGGGAAUUGCAUUUGAGACUGAAUAGCUAGGGUGCGGAAGAGGGAAGCGGAAUUUCCGGUGUAGCGGUGAAAUGCGUAGAUAUCGGAAGGAACACCAGUGGCGAAAAGCGGCUUCCUGGUCCAGCACCGACGUCAGGCACGAAAGCGUGGGGAGCAAACAGG
rnacentral:rRNA from 1 species